CAUUCACUUCUAAUGAUGUGAGUGUUUUUCACAUCCACGUGAUCCGCUGUGUGAAUCAGACGCUUCAGAGCGGCUGGGAGGUUUAUUUUUCCACUUUGGACGGAGCCAGGCUAACAACUCCCAUAGACUUUAAGUGUUUAUGCUAAGCUAACAGGAGAUGCUAGCCAU